rnacentral:tRNA from 1 species
ACUUAAAUAAUUUAAAUUAAAAUAUUGAUUUGUGGAAUCAAAUAUAUGACUAAUCAUUUUAAGUU